AGUAUUACGCCGGUAUGAACGGAUAACUUUGAUGAUGUUAAUUAUAGAAAUAAUUUCUUAAUACUU
rnacentral:tRNA from 1 species